rnacentral:rRNA from 1 species
UACGUAGGGGGCAAGCGUUGUCCGGAUUUAUUGGGCGUAAAGCGCACGCAGGCGGUCUCUUAAGUUUUGAGUGACAGGUAGUGGCUCGACCACAACAGGCCUCAGAAGACUGGGAGACUUGAGGACGAGAGAGGGAUGCGGAAUUCCAGGUGGAGCGGUGAAAUGCGUAGAGAUGUGGAGGAAUCCCGAUGGCGAAGGCAGCCCCCUGGGAUAACCCUGACGCUCAUGCACGAAAGCGUGGGAGCAAACAGG